CCCUGAGUGUAUCUGAGUUUGUCCUCCCACCAGACCAUCAGAGUAUAUUAACCUUAAGUCUAACAGUCCCUUAACAACCUGUCAGGAUAGGACUCUGAAUAUCUGGUUUGAGCCUAGAUCUGAAACACAAAAGUAAAUGAAAAACAUCACAUUCAAGACAUGACAUUGUAUUAAAGACUCCAUGACCUCAGGAAUAUACACAUUAUUGAGAGAAGUAUUUUACUUGAGGACCAGAAUCGAGAAUACAGUGUUUUUCCAGAAGAGACUAAAGGAAGUGUCAAUCUAACACACAUUGGCUAUGUCAUCUUUGUGUUUGCAGUUCUGAUAAACAAAGUGUGUUUGCAGGACACAGCAAAGGGUUUUAUCGGUGAUUCUGUUGUCCUGCCGUGUUCUUCAGCUCAACAUGAUCUUAAACUUCAAGACAUAAACGUGCACUGGAGAGACAAAAGUGACAAAAUUGUGUUUAGUAUAAUUAAGGGUGAAUAUUCAGUAGUAGGACAAGAUCCACAGUAUAAGAACAGAGCUGAAACUUUCCCAUCUGAGCAUCUGAGAGGAAACUACUCCAUCAGACUCAACAAUCUGACUCACGCUGAUGCAGGAAAAUACACCUACUUCAUCACACCUUCAGAUGAACACGAGACUGUACAGCUGAUCAUCAACGAAAAAGCAAACAAUGUAUACGCCGGAGCAGUUCCUGUGGGGACGUCAUCGUGCUGGUUCUACGUUGUAUUAUCUGUAUUAUUUACAAUGUUUAUAGCCUGAUUCAUUAAAUUUCUCUGGAUUUCA